CCCUCGUGUUCCAUGAUUUAACAAGCGAUGACCACUCCACUACCAUUGUCAACUACCUCCUCACAUGAACUGGAAGCCACGUCUCAUGUGGCCCACUCAUCCACUGGCACAUUGAAUGUUUCCUCUCCAAGCACGUCAAAUCCUGUCCUGCACUGGUCAAGCCUCUGAACAACUCAACUCAUGCCUCAUACCCUCAUUCAAUCACUGCUGUGAUCCCUUCCCAAAAUGGUGCCCUGGAGCAGCUGUGAUCAGGUUAGAAGAGAAUGACUCCUCAACCCAAGAGGCCCUGGAGCAGCUGUGA
rnacentral:lncRNA from 1 species